GAUUAAGUUAUUAAGGGCGCACGGUGGAUGCCUUGGCACUAGAAGCCGAUGAAGGACGUUACUAACGACGAUAUGCUUUGGGGAGCUGUAAGUAAGCUUUGAUCCAGAGAUUUCCGAAUGGGGAAACCCAGCAUGAGUUAUGUCAUGUUAUCGAUAUGUGAAUACAUAGCAUAUCAGAAGGCACACCCGGAGAACUGAAACAUCUUAGUACCCGGAGGAAGAGAAAGAAAAUUCGAUUCCCUUAGUAGCGGCGAGCGAAACGGGAAGAGCCCAAACCAAAAAGCUUGCUUGUUGGGGUUGUAGGACACUCUAUACGGAGUUACAAAGGACGACAUUAGACGAAUCAUCUGGAAAGAUGAAUCAAAGAAGGUAAUAAUCCUGUAGUCGAAAAUGUUGUCUCUCUUGAGUGGAUCCUGAGUACGACGGAGCACGUGAAAUUCCGUCGGAAUCUGGGAGGACCAUCUCCUAAGGCUAAAUACUCUCUAGUGACCGAUAGUGAACCAGUACCGUGAGGGAAA
rnacentral:rRNA from 1 species